AAUCAACACUCCACUCAGACAAUGCCCAGACCUCCAGAAACCAUGUGUCAAGCUCGGAUUGCCUUAGACAGGUGCAAUUUAAGAACAGCUUUCAUCCUCUUUUCUCUCAUAUUGUCACACUAUGUGUUCUGACUUCUGGCUCCUUUCCUCACAAGAAGCUCACCCAGCUGGAACUCUUAUGGGACCUUGGCACCAGAGACCACAAAUUCCUCUUUGAAGUUUUCUAACAGCAACAAUGACAGAGUUUCGCUCUGUCGCCCAGGCUGGAGUGCAGUGGCGCGCGAUCUCGGUUCACUGCAAGCUCCACCUCCCGGGUUCACGCCAUUCUCCUGCCUCAGCCUCCUGAGUAGCUGGGACUACAGGCGCCCGCCACCACACCCAGGAAUCCAACUUGCUGUUUGCUAUCACAUGUGCUAUACAUGCUGUUGAUGAAACUGCUAAAGGGGCUGAAUGUGACUGACGUCUUUGGAAGGAUGAGACUUAGCGUGCCUGUACAGUUGUGUCCAAAUGCUGUCCUCAUCUCCCAAUGAAAAGCUGAACUAGGGCCAUGCCUGGGACAGACAGAGAAUGGCCUUCCAGCAGACAUGCCAAGAAGCAAGCCAGGGUCAGUGAGUGAAGAGGAGGGCAGGCCCAUUUGAAGCAACACAGUUUAUAUACAUGAAAAGAAAGAAGGAGAGAAGGAAGAAAGGAGGGCGGAAGGAAAGGAAGAAGGGAGAGAAGAAGAGAAGAAAGAAGCAGAGAAAGGAAGAGAAAAGAAAUUACGGCCAGUGCGGUGGCUCACGCCUGUAAUCCUAGCACUUUGGGAGGCCUAAGCGGGCUGAUCACCUGAGGUCAGGAGUUCGUAAGCCAGCCUGGCCAACAUGGUGAAACCCUAUCUCUACUAAAAAUACAAAAAUCAGCAGGGCAUGGUGGUGCGUGCCUGUAAUCCCAGCUACCUGGGAGGCUGAGGUAGGAGAAUCGCUGGAACCCGAGAGGCGGAGGCUGCAGUGAGUUGAGAUCAUGUCACUGCACUCCAGGCUGGGCAACAGAGUGAGACUCUGUCUCA
rnacentral:lncRNA from 1 species